UGCAGUCGAACGGUAACAGGUUAAGCUGACGAGUGGCGAACGGGUGAGUAAUGCAUCGGAACGUGCCCGAUCGUGGGGGAUAACGCAGCGAAAGCUGCGCUAAUACCGCAUACGAUCUGAGGAUGAAAGCGGGGGACCGUAAGGCCUCGCGCGAUCGGAGCGGCCGAUGUCAGAUUAGGUAGUUGGUGGGGUAAAGGCUCACCAAGCCAACGAUCUGUAGCUGGUCUGAGAGGACGACCAGCCACACUGGGACUGAGACACGGCCCAGACUCCUACGGGAGGCAGCAGUGGGGAAUUUUGGACAAUGGGCGAAAGCCUGAUCCAGCAAUGCCGCGUGCAGGAAGAAGGCCUUCGGGUUGUAAACUGCUUUUGUACGGAGCGAAAAGGCUCUCUCUAAUACAGGGGGCUCAUGACGGUACCGUAAGAAUAAGCACCGGCUAACUACGUGCCAGCAGCCGCGGUAAUACGUAGGGUGCAAGCGUUAAUUGGAAUUACUGGGCGUAAAGCGUGCGCAGGCGGUUUUGUAAGACAGGCGUGAAAUCCCCGGGCUCAACCUGGGAAUGGCGCUUGUGACUGCAAAGCUGGAGCGCGGCAGAGGGGGAUGGAAUUCCGCGUGUAGCAGUGAAAUGCGUAGAUAUGCGGAGGAACACCGAUGGCGAAGGCAAUCCCCCGGGCCUGCACUGACGCUCAUGCACG
rnacentral:rRNA from 1 species